rnacentral:rRNA from 1 species
GACGAACGCCGGCGGCGUGCUUAACACAUGCAAGUCGAACGAUGAAGCCGGAGCUUGCUCUGGUGAAUUAGUGGCGAACGGGUGAGUAACACGUGAGUAACCUGCCCUUGACUCUGGGAUAACUGCUAGAAAUGGUAGCUAAUACCGGAUACGACCCUCGGAGGCAUCUCCAGGGGGUGGAAAGAAUUUCGGUCAGGGAUGGACUCGCGGCCUAUCAGCUAGUUGGUGAGGUAAUGGCUCACCAAGGCGACGACGGGUAGCCGGCCUGAGAGGGUGACCGGCCACACUGGGACUGAGACAUGGCCCAGACUCCUACGGGAGGCAGCAGAGGGGAAUAUUGCACAAUGGGCGCAAGCCUGAUGCAGCAACGCCGCGUGAGGGAUGACGGCCUUCGGGUUGUAAACCUCUUUUAGUAGGGAAGAAGCGAAAGUGACGGUACCUGCAGAAAAAGCACCGGCUAACUACGUGCCAGCCGCCGCCGUAA